rnacentral:misc_RNA from 1 species
GAUGAAGAACGUAGCGAAAUGCGAUAAGUAAUGUGAAUUGCAGAAUUCAGUGAAUCAUCGAAUCUUUGAACGCACAUUGCGCCCCCUGGUAUUCCGGGGGGCAUGCCUGUUCGAGCGUCAUUUCACCACUCAAGCCUCGCUUGGUAUUGGGCAACGCGGUCCGCCGCGUGCCUCAAAUCGACCGACUGGGUCUUCUGUCCCCUAAGCGUUGUGGAAACUAUUCGCUAAAGGGUGUUCGGGAGGCUACGCCGUAAAACAACCCCAUUUCUAAGGUUGACCUCGGAUCAGGUAGGGAUACCCGCUGAACUUAAGCAUAUCAAUAAGCGGAGGA